rfam:Triticum urartu cultivar G1812 contig763101, whole genome shotgun sequence.
ACCUACUCGACUCAACGGUUAGAGUAUUGCUUUCGUACAACGAGAGUCAUUGGUUCAAAUCCAAUCGUAGGUA